AAUUAUUUUUUAAAGCAAGUGCUUGAUUCAAUCAAUUCAAUGCACUGGCUCUCCUAUAUUAGAAAAUUUGUAUUUGUCUGAAUAAACUUAUCUUUAAAUCACAAAGUCUUGGCCUUCUUGUUUAUUUAUUUUUAAAACCAGUGCAUAUCUGAGAUCUUUUACCAUGUUGUUGGUGAUAAUUUUAGUGGGUGCAGCGCACCAGCAUGGCACAUGUAUACAUAUGUAACUAACCUGCACAAUGUGCACAUGUACCCUAAAACUUAAAGUAUAAUAAAAAAAAACAAAAAACAAAACAAAACAAAAAAAAAACAAAAAAACUCUGAAAGAGAGCUGCUAAUAUUUGACUGUGCUUGUGAAUUGUGGGGUAUGGAGAAUGAGGGGAAGAAAGUCAUUAAACUGAAGAUUUUUAUUCUGUGGGAAAGUGACCCCCAAACACAGAAGGAGUCUAGAAACCUAAUAAUUAGUUAGAAAAAUUGUUUGUUGACAAAGGGUGAUUUAUUGGGGGAAUUUACAGACAGAAGCAUGGUCUUGGACAGUA
rnacentral:lncRNA from 1 species